CUUGGGUACAUUGAGAUGGUUGACCAGAGAGCACACGCUUUAUUUAUGACGUUUGUGACCUGGUCCACUAACCCUCAGUAUCUAAUCC
rnacentral:pre_miRNA from 1 species